CGGGCAGGGUUGAGAAUAGCAG
rnacentral:misc_RNA from 1 species